CACGUAGGGCGCAAGCGUUGUCCGGAAUUAUUGGGCGUAAAGAGCUCGUAGGCGGUCUGUUGCGUCCGCUGUGAAAACUCGGGGCUUAACCCCGAGCCUGCAGUGGAUACGGGCAGACUAGAGGUAGGUAGGGGAGAAUGGAAUUCCCGGUGUAGCGGUGAAAUGCGCAGAUAUCAGGAGGAACACCGGUGGCGAAGGCGGGGUCUCUGGGCCCGAUACUGACGCUGAGGAGCGAAAAGCGUGGGGGAGCGAACAGG
rnacentral:rRNA from 1 species